GCGCCCUUAGCUCAGCUGGAUAGAGCGUGUGGCUUCGGACCACAAGGCCGGGGGUUCAAAUCCUCCAGGGCGCGCCA
rnacentral:tRNA from 1 species